UUUGUAAUCAAUAAACCUUUACAAAAAUUUAACCGCAUGCCAAAAAUUCGUAUAAUUUUCCAAUACGAAUAUAAACACAUGCUAAAAAUCAUUCGGAUUCCCCAAAACAUGAAUUCUUGCUUUCCAAAAAUAUACAAUACCAAACUUCAAAAAAUCUAUCUUCAAAACAACACUUGAAGUAACCUACACAAUACAUUUACUUUCAAAGUCUACAUAUCCUUAGUUCAACAAAAUGUCCUUGCUCCCAUGCUCCAAUGUAAAAUGUGUUCCUGAACAAUCAAAGAAGAAAAAAAAGUUAGUGUUCCCGAGUAAGCAAAAUUCAUGUUUUUAAAGCAUAUAAAACUUGUUGUAUACAACUUUUUUUGUGCAAAAGACCAUGAAAUUCUAAAACCCCAGAAAAAGUGGUUUAGCACAUAUGACAAUGAGAACAAGAAAGUUUCUUUGAGAUUUUUUUUGAUAUUCGCCGAAGAAUGUUGCAACCCACAAUUACGAUGCUAACCUAACCUACAAAAUAAGAGACACCAGUGAGCUGCAAUGCAAGAACUUGCGCUUGCAUUAUAUCGUAAAAGCUACAGCUUGUACUAUGGAUAAAAACACCAACGAAAUACUAUAUGCUAUUUAUACCAUGAAUACAUUUAGCAGAAGGAAUACCUGGAUAUAAGCAUAUUGUCACUAGCAAUCCAAUAACUUUACUAGGUGAAACAGGACAUUUCGAUACAAUAGAGCAGGCUCUUUAUUGCUGCCAAUCUUUGAUCUUAAUCCCCUAAUCUGUAAAGUCCAUCAUAUAGUUUUCAGUGAUAAAGUAGCAGUCGGCAUAAAAAUUUUGAAAUCAGAUAGCAAGGCUGGAUAAAAUUAACUCAUCAUAUAUUUAUGAAAAGAUAUUGAAAUGGCGUAUGAUAUAUCAAACCAUUCCAACAACUGAACCAUGGAAAGCCCUCCA
rnacentral:lncRNA from 1 species